UGGGGGAUAUUGCACAAUGGGCGAAAGCCUGAUGCAGCGACGCCGCGUGGGGGAUGAAGGCCUUCGGGUUGUAAACUUCUUUUGCUCUGAACAAGGCAUGCUUUUGGGGUGUGUUGAGUGUAGGGGUUGAUUAGCGUCGGCUAACUACGUGCCAGCAGCCGCGGUAAUACGUAGGGCGCGAGCGUUGUCCGGAAUUAUUGGGCGUAAAGGGCUUGUAGGUGGCUGGUUGCGUCUGUCGUGAAAGCUCAUGGCUUAACUGUGGGUUUGCGGUGGGUACGGGCUGGCUUGAGUGCAGUAGGGGAGGCUGGAAUUCCUGGUGUAGCGGUGGAAUGCGCAGAUAUCAGGAGGAAUACCGGUGGCGAAGGCGGGUCUCUGGGCUGUUACUGACGCUGAGGAGCGAAAGCGUGGGGAGCGAACAGG
rnacentral:rRNA from 1 species